rnacentral:rRNA from 1 species
CCUACGGGUGGCAGCAGUGGGGAAUAUUGGACAAUGGGCGAAAGCCUGAUCCAGCCAUGCCGCGUGUGUGAAGAAGGCCUUCGGGUUGUAAAGCACUUUCAGUGGGGAAGAAAGCCUUGGGGCUAAUACCCUCGAGGAAGGACAUCACCCACAGAAGAAGCACCGGCUAACUCCGUGCCAGCAGCCGCGGUAAUACGGAGGGUGCGAGCGUUAAUCGGAAUUACUGGGCGUAAAGCGCGCGUAGGCGGUCUGAUAAGCCGGUUGUGAAAGCCCCGGGCUCAACCUGGGAACGGCAUCCGGAACUGUCAGGCUAGAGUGCAGGAGAGGAAGGUAGAAUUCCCGGUGUAGCGGUGAAAUGCGUAGAGAUCGGGAGGAAUACCAGUGGCGAAGGCGGCCUUCUGGACUGACACUGACGCUGAGGUGCGAAAGCGUGGGUAGCAAACAGGAUUAGAACCCUGGUAGUC